UCCAGUCACAACACCAUAAACAAAAGAGAUAUUUAAGUGAAACUUUAAGUAAUGCAGGUAUCAGAUUCUAAUUUUAGUAUCCUCAUUCCAGUAUAAUUUGUGAAUCGCGCUAAUUCUGUGCAUUUAUGAACAAUUAUACUUUAUUAUGUAUUUUCAAGAGAUAGAUGGAUUCUUGAUUAGUA